GAUGAACGCUGGCGGCGUGCCUAAUACAUGCAAGUAGAACGCUGAAGCUUGGUGCUUGCACCGAGCGGAUGAGUUGCGAACGGGUGAGUAACGCGUAGGUAACCUGCCUCUUAGCGGGGGAUAACUAUUGGAAACGAUAGCUAAUACCGCAUAAAGGUCGAUAUCGCAUGAUGUUGACUUGAAAGGUGCAAUUGCAUCACUAAGAGAUGGACCUGCGUUGUAUUAGCUAGUUGGUGAGGUAACGGCUCACCAAGGCGACGAUACAUAGCCGACCUGAGAGGGUGAUCGGCCACACUGGGACUGAGACACGGCCCAGACUCCUACGGGAGGCAGCAGUAGGGAAUCUUCGGCAAUGGGGGCAACCCUGACCGAGCAACGCCGCGUGAGUGAAGAAGGUUUUCGGAUCGUAAAGCUCUGUUGUAAGAGAAGAACGAGUGUGAGAGUGGAAAGUUCACACUGUGACGGUAACUUACCAGAAAGGGACGGCUAACUACGUGCCAGCAGCCGCGGUAAUACGUAGGUCCCGAGCGUUAUCCGGAUUUAUUGGGCGUAAAGCGAGCGCAGGCGGUUAGAUAAGUCUGAAGUUAAAGGCUGUGGCUUAACCAUAGUACGCUUUGGAAACUGUUUAACUUGAGUGCAGAAGGGGAGAGUGGAAUUCCAUGUGUAGCGGUGAAAUGCGUAGAUAUAUGGAGGAACACCGGUGGCGAAAGCGGCUCUCUGGUCUGUAACUGACGCUGAGGCUCGAAAGCGUGGGGAGCAAACAGG
rnacentral:rRNA from 1 species